rnacentral:rRNA from 1 species
GUGAACGAGCGACGCCGCGUGCGGGAUGAAGGCCUUCGGGUUGUAAACUCCUGUCGAGGGGGAACAAGGGCCGGUGGAGAGCCGGACUUGAGUGAUCCCUGGAGGAAGCACGGGCUAAGUUCGUGCCAGCAGCCGCGGUAAGACGAACCGUGCGAACGUUAUUCGGAUUCACUGGGCUUAAAGCGCGUGUAGGCGGACAGGCACGUCCGAGGCUGAAAGCCCCCGGCUCAACCGGGGAACUGGCCCGGAUACGGCCCGUCUGGAGGGGCAUAGGGGGAGCUGGAACUUCCGGUGGAGCGGUGAAAUGCGUUGAGAUCGGAAGGAACGCCCGUGGCGAAAGCGAGCUCCUGGAUGCCUUCUGACGCUGAGACGCGAAAGCCAGGGGAGCGAACGGGAUUAGAUACCCCGGUAGUCCUGGCCGUAAACGAU